rnacentral:lncRNA from 1 species
UGCCUGUGUGUCCCCGUGUCCCCAUGUCCGUCUGUCCCCAUAUCUGUGUCCGUGUGUCCCCGUGUCCGUGCGCCUGUCCUCAUGUGUCCUUGUGUCCCCAUGUCCCUGUGUCUGUGUGUCCGUCUGUCCCCAUAUCUAUGUCCCUGUGUCCGUGUGUCCCCAUGUCCCCAUGUCCGUGUGUCCCCAUGUCCGUGUGUCCCCAUGUCCCCAUGUCUGUCUGUCCCCGUAUCUGUGUCCCCAUGUCCAUGUGUCGCUGUGUCUGUGUCUCCCCGUGUCCGUGUGUCCCCGUGCUCAUGUGUCCGCCUGUCCCCGUAUCUGUGUCCCCAUGUCCCCGUGUCUGUGUGUCCCUGUGUCUGUCUGUCCCCGUAUCUGUGUUCCCAUGUCUGUGUCUGUGUGUCCCCAUGUCCCCGUGUGUCCCCGUGUCUGUGUGUCUGUGUCUACAUGUGUCCGUGUGUCCCUGUGUCCAUCUGUCCCAGUAUCUGUGCAUCCAUGUGUCCCCCUGUCUGUGUGUCCCCAUGUCUGCCUAUCAGCCCCCAUGUGUCCGUGUGUCCCCGUGUCCGUGUGUCCGUGUGUCCCUAUGUCCGUGUGUCCGUGUGUCCCCGGGGGCACUACUGGGGCACCACUGUGGCACAAAUGACACUGCCGUGGCACUAUGGUGGCAGCACAGUGGCACAACUGAGCAUGUCAUGGCACAAUGGUGGCACUAUGGCAGCACUAUGGGGGUACUGUUGUGUCACAAAUGUCACUGUGGUGGCACACAUUGCACCAUGGUGGCACAAAUGACACCAUCGUGGCACUAUGGUGGCACAUGGAGCACUAUGGCGGCACUAUGGUGGCACCAUGAUGGCACCAAUGCUGUUGACGUGGCACGACGUGGCACUAGGUUGGCUCCGUGGUAGCAACGAUUUGCAGACAGUGCCGGGCGUCCCUCCUUCUCCCUCCCACACCUCUCCAUCCUUCUCCCCUCCCACCCUUUUUCCUCCCUCCUUCUCCCCUCCCACACUUCUCCCUCUCGCAUUCUCCCUCCAAUCCUUCCCUCGUCCCUCCUUCUCCUCCACCCUUCUCCCUCCCUCCCUUCUCCCUCCUGUCCUCCCCCCACCAUUCUCCCUCCAUCCCUCUCCAUCCUUUUCUCCUCCGUCCUCCUCCCUCCCACCCUUCUCUCCUCCAUCCUUCUCCCCAUC